rnacentral:rRNA from 1 species
GAUGAACGCUGGCGGCGUGCCUAAUACAUGCAAGUCGAGCGAAUGGAUCAAGAGCUUGCUCUUAUGAAGUUAGCGGCGGACGGGUGAGUAACACGUGGGUAACCUGCCCAUAAGACUGGGAUAACUCCGGGAAACCGGGGCUAAUACCGGAUAACAUUUUGAACCGCAUGGUUCGAAAUUGAAAGGCGGCUUCGGCUGUCACUUAUGGAUGGACCCGCGUCGCAUUAGCUAGUUGGUGAGGUAACGGCUCACCAAGGCAACGAUGCGUAGCCGACCUGAGAGGGUGAUCGGCCACACUGGGACUGAGACACGGCCCAGACUCCUACGGGAGGCAGCAGUAGGGAAUCUUCCGCAAUGGACGAAAGUCUGACGGAGCAACGCCGCGUGAGUGAUGAAGGCUUUCGGGUCGUAAAACUCUGUUGGUAGGGAAGAACAAGUGCUAGUUGAAUAAGCUGGCACCUUGACGGUACCUAACCAGAAGGCCACGGCUAACUACGUGCCAGCCGCCGCAGUAA